CGGCCGCCGCAGUGGAAAGCCAGCGGCUAACUGUUUGAGCUAUGGCGCGGCCUAGGGAGAUAAGAAUCACCAAAUGCUUUAUGUUGGUCCAGUAAUUAUCUUGAAACCAUACAAUGAGUAGGCCCUACAGCUGCUUUAUAGGGCUAAAGAGUUGAGGAAUAAUUAUGUGUAACGUGGAGUUCUGUGUGAGUGUCCUGAAGGAGUGUACAGUGUUAGUGCAAGUGAAAAUUGUGGUACAUUGAGCGUGUGCUAAAUUCAGUGGUCAGUGAAACUGCAAGUGGAAUCUGUCCUCGGGUGCGAGCGAGCUGCAGUCUACCGGAGUCAAAGGUUUCUCUUCGAGUUUACAUCGCAUUAUGAAGCAGCAACACUUCGUAAAGGAUGGACUUCAGUUGUGGAGUGUGCAGCGAUGAAUCUUCAGAAUCCUUAAAGGUAGGG